GCAUUGGUGGUUCAGUGGUAGAAUUCUCGCCUGCCACGAAGGAGACCCAGGUUUGAUUCCCAGCCAAUGCA
rfam:Danio rerio chromosome 21, GRCz11 reference primary assembly.